rnacentral:lncRNA from 1 species
AUGAAUAGAGUUGAUAUACAAUCACUUAAUUUUUCAAAACACUAACACGUCUAUCAUCGAAAUUGGCAAAGGUUCGGCAAGUUAUCAUGUAUGUUAUCCAAGUUCUCAUUUCUAUGAAUUUAUGUUUGUUUAUUUUAGUGCAUAAUUCUAAACCCUUUUUUUCAAUUUUCAUUUAUUCUCAAAACUUUAUUUUUUCAAUUCUUAUUUCUUAUUAUUAUCGAAAUUACUUACAAACUAAUUUGCCUUAAAUAUUAAACAAUUCUCUAUUAACUUGAAAAAUAUGAACUUGUUUGUUCAACAAAAAAGAACUCAUAAUCAAAAAUGGACAAAGGUUCAGCAGGUUAUCAUGCUUAUCCAAGUUCUUAUUUCUAUGAAUUUAUGUCUGUUUAUUUUAUUAUACAAUUCUAAACUUUUUUUUUUCAAUUUUCAUUUAUUCUCAAAAUUUUACUUUUUCAAUCCUUAUUUCUUAUUAUUAUUAAAAUUACUUACAAACUAAUUGCUUUAAAUAUUCUCCAUUAACUUGAAAAAUAUGAACUUGUUUGUUCAACAAAAAAGAACUCAUAAUCAAAAAUGGAUUUUAUAUCUCAUUUUUAAAUAUUUAUUUGUUAAGAGAACCAUUCACUAAAAAUUCUUUUAUUAUUUUAAAAAUAUUUUUCUAAGUAAAAUUAUUUGGUGUGAUUGAUUAACUUUUAUACUUUGUUUGAAUUAAGAAUGAAAUAGAGAUGAUAGAAAUAGGAGCGAUAGAAUUAGGGAUGAAAUAAAAUGAAAAAUAUAUGUUGUUUGGAUGGAUAAAAAUGAGAAUAAAUGGAGUUGGUAAAUUUCAUAAUUUCUUAUUCAAAGUAAACAAAAAGAGAGUAGAAAGAAAUAAAUAAAUUAUAUAAAAAUAUAUUUUAUUAUAAUAAAAAGUUAAUCUAAUAAUUUUUUCUUAAUAAAAUUAUUUAUUACUUUGAAAAUAUAAAAUUAAACCUAAAAAAUGAAAAAAGAGAGAUCAUUUCUCUCCCAUUUCAUUUCAAUUUGGGGGAGAAGAGAAACGUUUUCUGGUUAGUUUUCUUGUAAGUUUCAGAUAAAUAACUUCUAUCUUUCCUAUGGUUUUUCAAACAAAUGAUAGAAAAUUAGUAUUUGGCUCCCUCUUAUAUAUAUUUCUUUACUUUAUUUCUAUCCAACAAAUAAGAAGUUAGGAAAGUGGAUGUAAUGAUAAUAUGAUAGCUAAUUAAUAAAAUAUAUAGAGUAAAUCGAUAAAAAAAAAAAAAGUGAAGAGUGUAUGAUAAAAUUAAUUCUAUAUUUUAUUCUUGCAUAACUACUUUUCGAAGCAAAUAAAGAAUGAUAUUUUUUGUUGUUUAGUGCUUUAACUUUUUGCAAAUCAUACUAACGGUAUGUGAAGUUGAAAAUAAAUUUAUACCAUUCAGAUGUUAAUAAUUGUAACUAAAAUUUGGGCCUGACAAAACCUACGUUGAAUAGAGUUUUCAAUCUUUAUUAAGCUCCACAUUUAAUCUUUAAUUGUGUGUAUCAACUCUCAAGUAAAUUCUAUUAUUGGGUCCUUAGAGGACAACAAGCUGGUUGGAGUAGACAUGGGACCAUUAAAGGUAACGGGGAUGUUGCAUUCCAUCUGGAGUUAAAUAUGACGAGCUGGGGAAUUUGCUGUAGGGAUGAUUCGGGUUGCAUCCUAAGGGCUCCAGAUUUUUCUGAACUUCCCUCCAUCAUUAGAGAGUCUAAAUAUAUACUCUCCCUUAAUCCAAACUAUUAUGUAGAGCUUGUCAAUGCCCUUCCCAUGGUAGCAACAUGAUAUAUGCAAGCCUGAGAGUUUUUUUUUUAUCAGAUUUCGAUGUGUAUUUACAAUUGCAUCAUUAAUGAAAUGAGUUGAGUUUUUUACUGUAAAAAAAAA